rnacentral:other from 1 species
CGUCCUCUGCCCUGCGCGACGGCGUGCGCAAACAUUACCCUUGGCCCUUAAAAGCGACCACGGGGAUGCAGCGGUAGCCAGGCGUGCAAGUCCGCCCUCGAGCGGAAAGCCCGAAGGUUGCCAGGCAUUCCCACUUGAACCCCGGGUUCAAGGUCGUUUCGCACGCAUCGCCAUGGCGGAGGAUGU